rnacentral:lncRNA from 1 species
UUUUGGAAUGCAUGUUACCAUGACCUUUUACAAGUAAUCAUACCCCCUUUAUAUAGUAGAGGAGCACUACUUUAAGUACAAUUAUAUAAAAGGUAAAAAUCCCUUAAUUUGCUAAUUACCGGUUCUCUAUUGAUACGUGUUGAGAUUCCCGCCGCAAUAUCCGACUGGUCACGAAGAUUUCGGUCUUCUGUUGGUUAUGCUAAUAUUUCUCCGAGCUCGUUCGGGACUGGGGUCUAUUCUGGGAUCAUGGACAUAAUGUUCUCGAAGGCAGGCGUUCCGACCCCGGGUUCUAGCUUGAUGGGACUUGGGAUCGAUCUUCAACCAUGUUCCGAUCCUGUCCUUCCAUGUCGUAGGCGAGCUCGAUUUCGACUGUAUACAACACGUGAACAAAAUUUUAACUUAUUAUAUUAAGAGGAAGGAGGGAGGAUAGUACUAGAUCUUCUACUCUACACAUACUACAUAAAAAGCUAAAGCAACAAUUCAUUUUUGAGUCAUUAGUUCACUGCUGCUUCUAUGACCCAAAUUUGGUCUUUACCAAAUGAAAAUAAAUUGGUAAGUUUACCUUCAUGCAUAUCUAAUUUUACUUUAGAACUCUUAUAUCUAUGCUGCCACGUUAUAUGUCCUCCAACCAAAGGUGACGAGUAAGAUCAUUAGUUGUUGUAACUUCCUCCGGAAUCACUAAAUGGAAACACUUAUUUUCGUCUUCAGAGUGGAAAAAAACAGAUACAUAAAAAAUCAAGCACAGACAAAGAAAAGUAAAGAAACCAUGAUAAAUUAAGUCAAAAAUAAAUUUUGGUCAGGCGUUGAAGGCUAGAUAGCACUGCCAUGGAAGUUCUAAAAAUCUGGUUC